UGAUAUUCUAAAUAGGCAAGUCAGUCAUGAAACACAAUAGAUGUAUUAAUAUAGAUAUAUAAUUUCAUAUAUAUGCAGUUUAUCAUAAAGAUGGUAUUUCCAGUCAAUGAUGAAUAAAAGAGAAAAAUAAAUUAUAGAAACAUCAAAAUGGUAAAGAUAAAACAAGGCAAAUCUUUAAACGUAUUAUAAGAAAAUAAAAGAAAUUCAUUUAGAACAUUGAGUUAGAAAAGACCCUUGUAAACAAAUUACAAAUGAAAGUUUUUCUCUUUAUGGUAAAAAUCAUAAAGGAAACAAAAGUUAAUCUGAUAUCAAGAAAACAUGAUUGAAUAUGCCAAAGUCACUAUAAAAUUAAAAUUUGUGUUAAAACUUUAAAAGUAUUUGAUACUUGUAUAAAAUAAAGGAUUGAUAUUCACAGUUUAUUUUAAAACCUACAAAUACUUAUAACCACAAAAAUCCAAUAGACCCAGGGGCCAAGUGUGGAGAUAGGGAAUUCAGAGGACAGGAAAUCCAAACACUUCCAAUACAGAGUCCAACCCACUCCCUGAGAGUUGGAUGUUUGGAAACUACAACGCAGGGAUAUCACUUUUUUGCCCACAACAUUUGCAAAAUUGAACGAUAUAAAAAUUUACCAUCGAAUUUUGUUCACAAUAUAGGGAAACAGGCACUGUCAUUUCUUGCGUGACAGAUUGGUUCAGUCUUCAAAGGACAACUUAGCAGUAUUUGCUGACAUGAUCAAAGCGCUUCUCUUUUGGUCCAUCAUCUCCACUUCUCAGUGACAAAUCUUAAGACACAUUCACAUGGAAAAAAACCCAAGAUAGUCACAUACUUCCUGUUGUAUCUUUGUACUUAGAAUUACAAUAUGGGAGAAAAGUACCUUGACAUUCAUCUUCAAGGGAAUGGUGACACUACCCGACACCCCCGUUGUGACGUACGGUGCUGCAUACUCCCCAGUGACCAGCCCUUCUAAAUUCCAGACCGCUCAAAGGGUGAAAAGCCACAUGUCAGGAGUGACCAGGGAGCAGAUCCCGAACGUACAAGAAACAGCUGAAAGCUCAUGGACAGCUCAUACUGAUCUCUUUUGCCAUCUGAGCCCUAGCUUUCUUUGAAGACCACUCUCUAUUUAAUAAAUGGUGCUGGGAUAACUGGCUAGCCAUAGUCAGAAGAAUAAAAUUGGACCCCUACCUUUAACCAUAUACACAAAUAAGUUCAAGAAGGAUUAAUGACAUAAUGUAGGGCCUCGAAUUAUAAAAAUCCCAGAGAAUAACUCUUCUCGAUAUUUGCCCUGGCAAAUAAUUUUUGGCUAAAUCCCCAAAAGCAAUUGCAACAAGAACAAAAAAUGGCCAGUGGGACCUAAUUAAACUAAAAGUCUUCUGCACAGGAAAAGAAACUAUAAAUAAACAAACAACUUACAGAACGGGAGAAAAUAUUUGCAAACUAGGCAGCUGACAAAGCUAUUCAGAAUCUAUAAGGAACUGAAAUCAGCAAGAAUAAAACAAAUAACCCAAUUUAAAAAUGGGCAAAGGACACAUGCAAACACUUCAUAAAAGAAGACAUAGUUGGCCGGGCGCGGUGGCUCACGCCUGGAAUCCCAGCACUUUGGGAGGCCAAGGCAGGCAGAUCACUUGAGGUCAGGAGUUCGAAAAGAAGACAUACAAGUGGCCCCAAAAUAGGAAAAAAAAUGUUCAUUAUUAAUCACAGAGAAACACAAAUCAAACCCGUAAUGAAAUACCGUCUCACACCAGUCAGAAUGGAUAUUACUAAAAAGUCAAAAACCAAAGAUGCUUGUGAGGCUGCAGAGAAAAAGGAAUGCUUAUAUGCUGUUGAAGGGAAUGUAAAUUAGUUCGGCCAAUGUGGAAAGCAGUUUGGAGAUUUUUCAAAGAACUUAAAAUAGAGCUACCAUUUGACCCAGCAAUCCCAUUACUGGGUAUCCACUCAAAGGAACAUAAACCAUUGUAACAAAUUGACACAUGCACUCAUCUGUUCACUGUGGCACUAUUCACAAUAGCAAAGACAUGGAAUCAAUCUAGGUGCCCAUCAACUUGGGACUGAAUAAAGAAAAUGUGGUACAUCUACACCACAAAAUACUAUGCAGCCAUAAAAGAGAAUGAAACAAUGUCCUCUGCAGCAACAUAAAUGGACCUGGAGGCCAAAAUUCUAAAGGAACUAACACAGAAACAGAAAACCAAAUACUGCAGUGUUCUCACUUCUAAGCGAGGCAUACAUGGACAUAAAAAUGGAUACAAUAGACAUCAGGGACUACUGGAGGAGGGAGGGGGGAUACUAUGAUAGGGGGUGUUCUAGGCUCAUUACUUAGGGGCAGUAUAUCCAUGUAAAAAAUCUGCACUAGUACCUCCAUAUCUAAAAUCCAAGUUGAAAUAAAAAAAAUAAAGAUCACUCAAUGUACAGCAUCAAUUCUUGGACCACGAUGUGGCCAUCUGUGUUCCUAAAGACCUAUAAAUGACUUCUAAGCUUUCUGAUCAUCUUCAUUGCUAGUGAUCUCCUAGCCCUGCAGGGGAGUACCCGGUGUCACAUUCAAGGCUCAAUGCCCACUGGGUUCACCCAAGAGUGAUUUAUGUGUUAGUUUCUCCCUACUUCCUUGUGGCAUUCUGGAUAGCUUCUUCAGAUGGUAAUUAUUUCCCGCUCCAGCCAAGGCCCCAUUAAAGACAGAACGCUGGAGAUGAAAAACUCCGGAUCACACUGGCAGACUCUACUUCAGACAUAAACUCUGGAACUUGACAGCUACGAUGGGUCUCUUCAUGUUGCUUCCACAGACUUAAUGAUGUCUUUAACAUCUCCUACCUGAAGGCAUCACCCAUCAUGCCACUGAGAUGCACGGCCAUAUUUCAGUUAAUUUAGCUAAUUUGCUAGUUUGUAAAGAAACACAGUUCAUACAAUAAGUUGUGCAUCUCUUAUUUUUUGGCAGGUCAGUUUUGAAAUGAUAACUGUUGUGAUUGAUGUGCUCUAAAUAACAAGAGAAAAACAGUUCAUGUUGAAACACCCAUAUGCUGAGGUGAUAAGCAUAUGUUCCAGUUUGGAGCCAAGAGAAAAGCAAAAAAACACAGUUUAAGCAAAUCUUAGUUCUUGACAAACACAGGGUAUUUCAGUGAAGAAAUAUGCAUGUAGCUCAGGGAAUUAAGAAAUUGUCUAGCUCAGGGUGGAAAUGACACCUUUAUAAUCAGAGUUUCUUGACUACAGUGAGUUCAUUCCUUCUGUGAUCAGGGUUGAGUCUUGGACUUUCCCAUCAGUAGACUGAUGCUGCUUAUCCACGUAGGCGAGCACUACAAGGACAGAAUGGGCUUCCUCACUACAUCACACUAGAGCCACCAUCUGGAGGUGGUCACAUGGGAGAAUUUGCUUCAGUAAGUGGAGUAUAAUGGAACAGGGCUGUUGAUUGCCAUCUGUCCGUUUAUAGGAAGUGUGGGCUCAAAAGUAGAAGAGGAGGUUGGCCGCCAUGCUGCUUGACUUAUUUUAUAUCCAUCAUUCGUUAACCGUGGCCACAUUAUGGGCAAUUUAUUUUGUUUAUUAGCACAUCUGUUAUUAUUAUUAUUUAUUCCUAAUCAUAGGUACACAAUACUUAUUGUUUCAUGAAGAUAAGCUUGGCUUUGCCCUGCAAUUUAUAGCAAUUACGUUUUUGUCAGGCUCAUCCAAUGACUGAGUCAGUCUCUGUGUCUUUAAGGUCUUCAGGCGAUUCCUGUGCUCAGCA
ensembl:lncRNA